AAGAACAGCAAUACAUUUUGGCUUCCUCCCUUGUAGUCAGGGGUGAUUAUCAAAACAUUGAACAUGCUAAACCAGACUCCAGCCAAUGAGAGUGAAUAUCUGGGGGUCCCAGGAGAGGGGCAGGGUCACUGGGUGGGCCCUGUGGGCUGGACAAGGUUGCCAGAGUAGACAAAUAAAAAUAUAGGACACCUAGUUAAAUUUAAACCUCGGACAAACAUCAGAGGUUUUGUUUUUUGUUUUUUGUUUAGUAUAAACAUAUCCUUGGUGAUAUUUAGAACUUGCUUAAAAAUUAUGUCAGUUAUCUGAAAUUCAAAUGCAACCCAGUGUCCCACAUUUUACCUGCAAACCUAGUGCUGGAUCGGCAGCUACUUCCCAACUAGAAGAGAAGGGCACACCACCUGGCCACCCCACAGCCUCUUCGGGAGGCCUGACACAGGAUUAUUUAGGAGCUGAAGCUCCCAGUACAAGGUAAGCUGUGUGUCUUUUUUUUAUCCCAGUCUGCUCUAUAGCACCAAGUAUUUUUGAAGCUAGAAGUUCAGCUUUGUACUGACAGAGAGACUGAGAACUGGAGGGGCAAGGCAAGCCAGCCAAGGCACACAGCCCACUGGCAGCAGAGUCAGACAGGCCGGGCCUUGUGGCCGCACCCUCCUAUCCCUCUGCCUCUGCUGGCCUGGCGACCCCUCCCAUGCCUGAUGUUUCAACAAACCGUCCUCUCUCUAGAGAUGAGGGCUAUACAAGGAGGAAAGAGCACAGUAAACUGGGCUUCAGCCCCCGCUCUACAAGACACAGCUUCAGGGAUGUGGGCAAGUCCUUUGCCUGUAAAGAGAGAGUUAUGGACAUGGCCUGUGGGGCCUCUCUGCCAGCACGGAGUUGCUACGGAGCCCCUCGCACUAGUGGGGUGACUGCAGAGGCCGCACUCAGUCAUGGUACGGCAUGGCCAUCUGUACCCCAAGAGACUUGCCACUGUGUGGCUUCCCAGGUGAGGAGACAAUUUGACAGCACAUGAAGGGGUUGGGUUGGGUUGGAUUUCCCCCACUUUUGCUCCAACUUGAAGCUAAGGCCAGACAUUCUUUCAGUGACUGCCCUUUGCCCUUCUUCCCCACAUCCUUUCCCACAACUGCCCUUGGUGGCUUCCAUUCCUCACUCAGAGCCAGCCGUGCUCUGGUUGGCGAUGGGAACAACGUCAGUAAACACGACAAAGACAUAGUCCCGAACCACACCAUUCAUGGUCUAGCCAGGCAAAAGGCCUGGGAACAAACAGCAGGGAUGCAGAGGCCUCCCCCCCUCCAUUCAACUAGGCACAGUCAUGUUUGCUUUUUAAAGCGAAAUUUCACUCUUUCAACUGGUAAAUAUUGGAUAAACAAACUACAAUAAAUCUAUACAGCAGAAUUCUAUUUGCCAAUAAAGAAUCAACUGCUCUUAUGCACAACAGGGACACAUUUCAAAUGUAUUAUUCUAAAAAAGCAGCCAGAUUCAAAAGGCCAUCCAUAUGACAUUCUGGAAAAGGCAAAAACAAGAGCAGCAGAGAACAGCCCAGUGGUUGCUGGUGAGGGGAGAAGGGCUGCACCAAGAAGAUUUUGGAUGUGAUCAAAGUGUUCCAUAUCUUGUCUAUGAUGGUGGCUACAUGACUGAUGCAUUUGUUAGCAUUAUUAGAACUAUACAGAGAAAGGGGUUAACUUUCAGUAAUUAUACCUCAUUAAACCUAACUUCUUAAAAAAUUAAAAAGUAAAUUUGAGUGGAUCAUUCUCCUGCUUAAAACUCCACUCUCACUGUAUUAACUCCAGUUCUCUUGACUUCUUUCCAUCUUUCAUUUAUUCUUUUGACAAAUCCUUAUUGAGCAUCUAUUGUGUGCCAGGUACUAAUUGCUGGGAGACUGUGGGCAGCUCUUCGUCUUAGCUUUCAGGCCCUAGCUUAUGCUGUUCCAAGGUUGUGCCUCUACCUGGAAGUCCCUUGCGUUACCCUCAUUCCCCAAACCCCCCUUCACCUUCAUUCUCUUUCAGGUCUUCUCUUAGGGGUCACUUCCUCAGCAGGGGCUCCCACAGACCCCUGAAAUCAAUCACAUGCUCACUUGGCUCCUCGCACUUCCCACACUGUCAUACUCCACUGUAGUUUCCUCUUUGGAGGCAAAGAUGUGUGUGUCUAGAGGGUUUUCUGCUGUAGCGCAAGUGCCUAGCACACUGAACCAUACAAAUGUGCUUGCUGCUUUGAUAGGCAAAAACGGCCAAGUAUUGGCAAUCUCAUAUUGUUCAGCUUAACACUAAGUGCUCAGUUAUAAUUAUCCAAGCAGAAAGGCUGCACCAGGGAAUGAAUCAGAGCCCAGACCCUGGGGCCACGUGGCUUGGGUUUCAAUACUGCCUCUAUCACCUUCAGCUAAGUGACUUUGGGCAAGUGACUCCACCUCUACAGAGCCUUGCAUUCCUCCUCUCUAACAGGGGUCAUACUAAUAAGCACCGGAGAGGCUUGUUAGGAAAUUAAGUGAAUUAAAAUUUGCAAAGCCCUUAAGACACUGUCGGGCACAUAGUAGGUGUGUUUGCUAAAGGAAUGACUGAAGCACUUACCAAGGGUCACAGGAGCAGAGGAGGAAAAGACUCAGUGUCCCUGAGAGAGGGGGAGGUAGUGUUACUUGCCUUAAAGGGCGAGUAAUGUUUGCCAGGCAGGCAUGUGGGGUGGCAAGGAGGGAGGGCAAGACAUUUCAGGCUGAGAGAGCAGGUGUUCAAAGCUUAAAGGCAAGAAAAGAGAGUAGGUAGGGGCAGGCUGACUAAGGUUCAUGGGAGAACUGAUGGGAGGUAAGGCCAGAGUGAAAAAGGGCAAAACUACUCAGGUGAGAAACUUGCAGAUCCUAGGGACCAUCACAGAAUUUUAAGCAAGGGAAUGAUAUGAUUAUGAUUUUGUUCUAGAAGGAUCACUUCAGCCACCAACUGGAGACAAAUUGGGAGGCUAAAGGAGGCUAGAGGAAUUGGUCAGACAAAAAGCAAUGAAGUGCUGAGCUCAGGCAGUAACUGUACGAAUAGUGAGCAGGGGCCAAUUGGAGGGUUAUUUCUGAGGAGGAUUUACCGGAAUUAGCAGCUAAGUAAGAGCAGAAGGCUUGAGUUUCUGUGCUGGGUAGGUGAGAACUGACAUAAGGAGCUAUUCAGGGAAGAGUAGGUGGGGCAGUGGACAGCGAGAGCAGAAGGCGGCAGCCACUACUGACCGGGUGCGUGUGGUGCACUGGCUGUGGGCACCAUGUUCUCCCACUCUUGCCUGAACUCUCCAGAGGAGGCUGCUCCCAUUUUGCAAGUGCAGAAACUGCAUCCCAAGCAGGUUACCAUAUGGAGCCCUAGUGACACAGAGCUGGGGAGGAAGAAUGAUUUUGGUCUUGCAGAUGAAGGUUGAGAGGCCAGCAGGAAAUGUGGAUGACUGCGUCCUGGUGGUGGAUUGAACAGUAGUUCGGGAGUUCAGAGAAGUCUUGGGGUGAUGAAUGGAGAUUUGGGAGUCGCCCGCAUACACGGAUGUUGACUUAGCAUAGCAGUGCAUAAAGUCACCAGGUCAAGUAAGAAGAGGACUCUGAGAAACACCAGUAUUUAAAGGACACCCAGAGGCGUUGCUGUCAAAAACAGAAGCAGCACCAGGAGAGGGUGGGUGUCUAGAUGAAGAAGGGGGUUCCAAGAAGCAGGAUGUGAGCAGAAGCAAGAUGAAGGAAGGCUGAAAAUGGGCACUGGACUUAGCAACUGGGAGUUCUCCACCAGAGCAGUCUUAGUGCCAUGUGGUGGAGGCAGGAGACACGUUGCCAAGGUCAAGGAGUCCACAGGAAGUGAGGAAGUGGAGGCACUGCUCCUGUCUGCAGAAGUUGAAGAAGCAGGGCCCUUCACCUGGGCUGCACAUUGGAAUCACCUGGAGAGAUUUUCUGACUCUGCCUUUCAGCCCCAUUCCAGACCAACCAAACCAAUCUUUUCAGAGUGGUUCCCCAGGCAUCCAGCUUUUGGAAGACUCCCUGUGUGACUCAGAUGUACACGGGUGUUAAGAAUCAAUGCUCACCAAGACCACAUAUUGUGCCUCCAUUUACAGGAAAUGUCCAGAAAAGGCAAAUUGAGACAGACAUGUUAGAAUAGGGUUUCCCAGGGCUGGAAAUAACUCUAAAUUACAUGGGAUCACACUGGGGUGAUGGAAAUGGUCUGCGGUGAUGGCUACACAACUCAGUAAAUUUACUAAAAAAAUCACUGAAUUGUUCACUUAAACAAACAGGAACCAAGGCUGUGCCAACAGGCAGGAAUCACUUUGCAACCCUAGUCAACCAAUGGAUCUGGGCAUCAAGCAUUAAAAGCCAACAUCUAGGAGAAAGACAGCUAGAUGCUGCUGCUCCUGAUGGGGAAACACACACCACCCACAAGCAGCUGAACCAGAGUCAGAUCAGACCUCUAGAUGCAACCACCAACUUUCAAGAAAACCAGAGGACAGAGGAACAUGUAAAACUAUACCAUGGGGAUACAACUAGCAAAAUUCAGACCAUAGGAAACUCUACCAAAGGAUAAUCUCAUUUCUUCAACAAAUAUUUUGCAAGGAAAACAGAAGAAUAAAACAAUCUUAAAACACAGACUAACCAAUCACAAUCUAUGGAUCUUAUUUGGAUCCUAAUUCAAAGAAACUGAAAACAAAUUAAAACAUUCAUGAGACAACUGGAAAGCUGAACAUUAACUGGAUAUUUGAUAACAAGGGAAUUUUAAAAUUUUUUGUUGUGAUAAUUGUAUUGUGGUUGUAAUUAAAAGAAAAGUACCUAUCUUUUAGAAAAUGCAAGCUGAGAUACUCAUGUUUGAAAGAUCUGAAAGCUGGUUUUGCUUUAAGGUAAUCCUGGAAGGUAUAAAGUAGAGGGGUGUGGAUGGGUCCAGACUGACCAAGUUGAUGGCUGUUGAAGGUGAGUGAAGGCACAUGAGGACUCAUCAUACUUGUCUGUCUACUUCUGUGUAUUUUUUUAGUUCUCUAUUAGAAAAAUGUUCUCUAUUAGAAAAAAGGAAGAAAGGAAGGAAAGAGGGAGGGAGGGAGAAAUGAAGGAAGAAAGGAAAAGGGAGGGGAGAGGGAAGGAGGAUAGAAGGAGAGGAGGAAGUAGCCCUCAUUUGAGGUCAAGGGCAUUUUUUGGAUGGGUAAGGUAGUCGUUCUCAACUACACCUGCACAAUUGAGUUAUCUGGCAAGCUUUGCAAAAUGCUGAUGCUUGGGCCCAACCUCAGAAAUUCUACUAUAACUGGUCUGGAAUGUAGUAACAUAAUCCUAAUUUGUAGCUGCCAUAUACUGGUGCCUACCUUAUGCUAGGCACUUGCUAUAGUCAUAAAUCCUACCAGCAGUUCUUCAAGGUAGAGAUCAUUCCUACUCAGAGACGGACAACUGAGGCUCAAAAAGAGAAACUACCUAAAGAUCAGAGCUAGAAAAUGAUCAGCAAGGGCCCAUAUCUUCUUUCUCCACAGCCAGUACUUUUAGACACCCCCACACCUUCCACCAACAGGGGUUACUCUCUAUCCCCUUCUUCCAGAUUAAUUGUUCUGACUGCCUAUUGCAGAAGCAGGUCAUUUGUAGAAAAUAAAUAUGUACCUCUGAUUUUUCUUAGGCCUGACUUUGCCAUGCAUUGCCAACAAAAGGGAUUCCUGCAGGUAGCUUUGAAAAUAGGGGCUCCCCUCCUUAGCAGCUGUUUCUGAGAAGGUCUUCAGAGAAGAGAGUGCUGUUCUUGCUGCCUGAGGAGACCUGGAUAAGAGAGCUUGCCAGGAAGCCACUACCCAGAGGGCACAGACAGAUUGCCCCUUGCCACCUUCUACCCUUGCAAAAAGGGUAUAAAAGCUCUCUCAAGAUGCCUGGGCUUCAGAGAUUAUAGUUUUAGUCUGUGGGAUGUAACUUUUAUCCCUCAAGUCAAUACCUUCUUAAUUGGUUGUCCAGAGUUUUAUUAAAAUUUGUUAUCUCUAUUUUUGAGGAGCUCCAAAGCAUCCUGGGGUAUUAUCUGCUCUUUCCUCUUCAAUUAUACUGUAAAAAGAUGGAGAUAAACCAAAGACUCUGGCAGAAUAUAUGAAAAUCAUCCUCCACUGGCACAUUUGCUGUGCUUGUCUGGAUUGCUGACUGAUUUUUACUGUGUUUCUAGGACACCCUAACUAGAUGGUGGCUCCUGACCAGGAGGGAUGGUGCCAGGAAUCAGAACUUGCCUCCCUUUUUCUUUCCUGCAGCCAUUAACAAGCACUUGCUUGUGCCUUUGAUGGAUGGGGACAAAGGAGACUCUGUAAAUGCACCUAAAAUAAUAUAACAAGUCUCUGUUAAUUUUAUGUGUACAGUGUGGUCUGUGCUUAUACCAACAGUGGUGUAAUGUUAUACAAGGCUGACAAAGUGUUCCAGCUAAAACCAAGGAAGGAUGGCUUUCCCUAAUUUACAGGAAAAAAUUAACUUAGAAGUGUUAAUUUUAAAGGUUUGCCCUUAUAAAGUAGGUGCCUUCUACCAUCUUCUGUAACAGAACCUGGAGUGACAGCUAACACUCUCACAGUCCUCUCUAAGUACUGCUACAAGCAUUUUAUAUAUAUUAGUACAUUUAAUCCUCACAAGAACGCUAUGAGGUAGGUACUAUUAUUAUCCCCAUUUUACAGAUAAGGAAACUGAGGCACUGAAAAGGCAGGUACCUUGCCCAAAGUUCAUGUGUCUGGGAAGUGUGGAGUCAGGAUCAUAAAUCCAGGCAGGCUGGUUCCAGAGUUAUCCUCACUCGCCCCACCUUAUCACACUGCUAUUUAAUCUAGCACUAAAUUAAUUUUUAAAUUACUACAUGUUUAUUGUGCCAACAGUCAAAGACUUCUGCAAACCACACCCAGGGUUGUAGGGCUCUGCCCCCACCACCCGCCCCCUGUGGAUUGGGAGUCAGAAACACCUGGGUUUGAAUCCAGAUUCCAUCCUCUACACGCUAGGUAACUUAGGCACCUCUCUGCUAACUUCUCUGAGAGUCAGUUCCCUGAGAAAAUCCAGGGCUGUCAAGAGGAGGGAAUGAGGCGACUCAUACAGUGCCAAAGCCCAUGUCUGGCUAGACGUUUCUGAACCCAAGUGUCAGAUGCUGGCAGCUUUGUUCUUCCAUCUAUUUGUUCAUCCAUUUGGCAAACACCAGAUGGAGACAGAGACUGGCCAGCACUGCAGCUUCCAGAUAAAGUUCUUUCCCCUUCUCUCCCUAGAGAAGAGAAAUGACCUCCUGGUAGGGCCAAAUGUGAGUGCCUGGCCCAGAAGUGGCAAACCAUUCCAUAGGAUCUCAGAGCAGCCAGAACGGAGCCAGAGCAGGGCCCAACUGAGCAGGCCCUGAAUGGCAGGAAAGUGUUAGGGUUCUGUUUAAUAGGUGAUGGGAAAUCACUAAAACUUUUGAUCCGAAGUCAUAUGAUCAAAAAUGCACUUUGAAGUUUAAAUAUUUAAAUUGUGCAUAGGGUUCUUGAGAGGUGCAAGUUGGGAGGCUAUCCCAAAAGGCUGGGCAAGAAGUGAUGAGUGGGAUGAGGUGCAAUGCAAGGCAUCCUCCAAAACUGUGAGAGAAGGGCCACCUGCACUCCACGCCCACACUUGACCACCCAGCCUGUCCUGCUCACACGUGUGCAAGUCUUUCCUCUCUGCCUGCCAUCUGCAUCUGCCCCCCUGUCCCCACCCCUUCUCUCCCCACUUCAACAGUUUGGCCUCAGUCCCUGACUUGUCUACUACCUCCUGACUUAAUCCCCUCCAGGCAGGGAUCCCAGAGCCAGCCCUGGAUUCCAGUGUCAGUCCUCCAGCUUGGCCCCAGUUAAACUUCACAUGUUGUCACUUGCACUUGCAUGAAAGCCGAAGUGCAAAGGAAGGCCUCCACCCUCACUCCCUGCACCGCUCAGGAGGAUGGAACAAAACAGAGGUCCAGGUGACACCGUGGAGGGAAGUCCACUGAACUCAGACAACCACCUGGGUAUCGGGAAGCAAGCAGUCAAAGGAAUGACAGAGCCACAAAAUGGAAGGAGCUUGGGUCCCUGAAUGACUUUAUGGAAGGUCACCCUCCCAAUGCCAACACUGAACUGUUCCAUAAUCAAGGCAAAAAGCUGUUGUUCCUCCAACCGCGGCUAACCCAGAUGACCCGGGUUGCCACCAACCAGAUGUUACUUCACUGCUACGCACCUCUUCCCACUGAACCCCCUCCUUCGGCCUAAUACCAGCCUCAAACCCCCACGAUGCCUCUUGUCAGUCAGAAGUAACCAGAUCGAGUUGUCACCCAUUAUGACCAAAAGGCUGCAAUGUUAGGCUGGAGAAAGGAAAAACAAGGACAUGCAAACAGAACAGAAAGAUACCAUAAAAGGAGAACAGAACAGACCCCAAGGUCCAUGCCUUAUAUGGAAACGGGACAGCUCUUCCUGAAUUUCAUCCUUCUGAUGUGCCAACUAAGACCCAGAUGUCAGCCUCCUCCCUCUUGGAAGGAAAAAAGUUUCUAGUUGUCUAUUAGGUUACCUUUAGCCAAUCAUACCUCUCCACGCCCCCUGGAAUAGCUUACACACUCCUCCCCCUCCUAAUCCCUUAUAAGCCCCCACCUCCCUGACCUGGUGUGACUUCCCUGGCCUGUAAUACCCAGACCAGAGAACAUCACCUGGGAAUUGCGCUCAAAUAAACUGCCUAGCCCUUUGUUGCCUCUCGUCGCCUGCUUAUUUUGGCUAGAAUUUACCUUACAAUAAAUACCCAUUUUCAGAAAUGAAAUGUCCUUAGAUGGAGGCCCUUUUUCUGUCUGCAAAAAUGAAUUGCAUUAAUAGAUCUCUCACUGUCCCCAUCCAAACCCUUCUUUCACCUGGAAUUUUCAUUUUGGAUGACAAUGCUUUAU